CCCCAGUGAGACCAACUACCAAUAGCUCCACUAAAUGUUUGACCUCUCCUUUGACCCCCAGUACAGCGGUGAAUCCUUCAUCAGGUUCAACUGUUAAUUCUUCUCAGACCACUGACACUCCAAGUAAAGGUCAAAGCUCCACAGACAUUGUCGUGAAUUCAAACAGUCCAGAAAGCGUUCCAGAUUUUAUUGUUACUUCUACUUUGACCCCUGGCAUCACAGUGAGACCAACUACAAGU